rnacentral:rRNA from 1 species
CGAAGAAGGACGUGCUAAUCUGCGAAAAGCUUGGAUGAGUUGAUAAGAAGCGUUUAAUCCAAGAUAUCCGAAUGGGGAAACCCAGUAGAUGAAGAAUCUACUAUCAAUAGAUGAAUACAUAGUCUGUUGAGGCAAACCGGGAGAACUGAAACAUCUAAGUACCCCGAGGAAAAGAAAUCAACCGAGAUUUUGUCAGUAGCGGCGAGCGAA